GACGAACGCUGGCGGCGCGCCUAACACAUGCAAGUCGAACGAGCGAGAGAGAGUUUGCUUUCUCGAGCGAGUGGCGAACGGGUGAGUAACGCGUGAGGAACCUGCCUCAAAGAGGGGGACAACAGUUGGAAACGACUGCUAAUACCGCAUAAGCGCACAGUACCGCAUGGUACGGUGUGAAAAACCCAGGUGGUGUGAGAUGGAUCCGCGUCUGAUUAGCCAGUUGGCGGGGUAACGGCCCACCAAAGCGACGAUCAGUAGCCGACCUGAGAGGGUGACCGGCCACAUUGGGACUGAGACACGGCCCAA
rnacentral:rRNA from 1 species